AUUUAAAAUAUUCCAACGACUGGGCACAUGAUGUGAUAUAUUUUGAAGAAAAAAAAUAAGACCAAAGGACGAGGAGUUGUUAAAUUAAAAUUGGCCUUAUGCGCGAAACAUAAUGUGCAAGUUGCUAUUCACGAACCCAGACAUUUAUUUGGAGGUUUGUUACUAUAAAAAGUUGAGACUAAGAAAAGUCGAAUAAUUUUGUUGAUCUGAUCCUGCAGAAGCUUUGAUCUUCCAAUAUAAUGCAUAACGUAGCCUCUUAACUAGAAACAUUGCUCUAACACAAUGGAUUGAAUAUGCUAGGAUCCAUCAAGAACAUCUACUUAAUUUUAUGGUUUUUAUUAAAUUUAUAGUCACUUUGUUAAGAUCUAUGAAUAAUGGAUUAUUUUUUAACAAAACUAUUUUGGGAUGCGACAAGAAAACUACUGUAUUCUUAUUUAAACAGUAUAAGGAAAAUAGAAAGAUUAAUUUUAGGAGACAAGAAUACCAUAACAUAGCUAUCAGCUAUUUCAAAGUAUAUUUUUCUUAAGUACAGUAUUAUAAUCUUUUCAAAAGAACAAUAAUUACAGUAAUUUAUUUAAUUAGAUGAUAUUAUCGUCUAUUAUCAGUCUCAAUAUUCCUGAAUAUUUUGAUCUAUUUCUUGCAAAGAAUUAUUCUUGUUUUCCAGAGGCAGAUAGUACGAAAUUGGAUGUUAUUCGAGAUUUAGAGAAAAUAGUUAUACAUGGUGGUGCCAAAUAGUAGAUAUAUAGCUUUUGUGUGUAUAUACUUGUUCUAAUACAACUUAUAUUAAUUAUUGGUGAUUAUAUAUUGUUAUAUUGAAAGAUUUGAGCACAUAGCAAGUAAUACCAGUCCGGAGACUAAAUCGGACAAACAUGUAUGCAUUCAGAUAUCAAAUUAAAAUAAUCCAGUUAAUCGGAACAGAUUUCGGAGAAGAUUAUUUAUUUGGAGAAGAUAGAUUAUUACAAUAAGCUGUUCGUCAAGAAAAUUAAUUUCCUUUGUACAAACACAUUGUAUAUUAUGUAUGAAAAGAAAAGAAAAGAACAAGUGAAAUGUGCAUGGAAGCUCUGAAAUAUAUCUGUGAGAGAUUAAAACAUAUAGAAGUCGAUAGUAAUAAUGAUUCUGAGUUAAUGCUUGGUACAACUUUAUUAGAAUUCUUUCUCAAGUUUCAACGAUAUGCUAUCCUGGACCAAAUAGUUUAUACCAAAGGACAAUUGGAAUCUAUGAAAAUACGAAUAGUUUAGAAUUGGUGUAACAUAUUGGUUGGAUAUUGCAGUAUAUUAAAACGAAUCGACAGAGCUAUUGAAUUUGAUACAUUACAAGCGAUUGAUAAUAUUAUGCGAUAUACAUGCAGUUGACACAUUAAUGAUUUUUUAUCCAAUUGGACACAACUGGCAUGACCCAAUGUUGAAGAAUCUUAUACAUUUGUUACUAAAAUUUUAGACAUACGUUAUUAAUAUCUUCCAAUUUUUUUUCUAUCAUUUUUUAUAUUCAUGAUCGUAUUAAUGUGAGUGAGAAAAUGAUGUUAUAGGACAUUUGUAAGUGUUUCUUUGCAUAUGCAGAUAAACUGGCUACAAAAGCAAAGACUACAACAAAUUUAGAACAGUUUAUUGAAAAUAGCGUGUAUCUAAUGCUCGAUGCUGUGCUAUUAAUAAUAUUGAUUAUAUUAGUACAUUGAUUGAUCCAUUGGUGCAAGUGACUUAGACUUACAAUCGUCGAUGGUUUAGGAGAAAACAAGAAAGGAAAAGAAAAUAGGCCGUACGUUGCAAACAAAUUCUUUAGCUGAUCGUUGCUAAUGCGGCAGAGACUGUGAAAAAUAAAAUUUAUGAAUUGUUAGAAGUUAUUGCGCACAAAAUGGAACUUAGUAUGAGGCUGUAAG